UACGGAGGGUGCGAGCGUUGUCCGGAAUCACUGGGCGUAAAGGGCGCGUAGGUGGCGCGGGCAGUCAACGGUGAAAGUUCGGGGCUCAACCCUGAAUCGGCCGUCGAUACUCCCGGGCUUGAGCACUGUAGAGGCAGAUGGAAUUCCGGGUGUAGCGGUGGAAUGCGUAGAGAUCCGGAAGAACACCGGUGGCGAAGGCGGUCUGCUGGGCAGUAGCUGACACUGAGGAGCGAAAGCGUGGGGAGCGAACAGG
rnacentral:rRNA from 1 species